rnacentral:rRNA from 1 species
AUGGGUCAAAUAAAAGAGUUGUAUGAGGGUGACGAAGACUUUGGCCAUGUUUGGGUAAAGCACGCAAGGGGCCAACCAUUAGGUGAUGACUAUUUGAUGCAAGAUGGAUAUCUCUUCGAAAAUGAUCGUUUGUGCAUUCCAAGAAGUUCUCUAUGUGACAAGCUGGUUAGAGAGCUCCAUUCAAGUGAUCUUAGUGGCCAUGUUGGACGGGACAAGACUAUCGCUAACCUGGAAGCUCGUUACUUUUGGCCACAACUAAAGAGAGAUGCUGGAAAGUUCAUUCAACGGUGCCCCGUAUGUCAGACCUGCAAAGGCCAAGUCCAGAACACAGGGUUAUACAUGCCUUUGCAUGUUCCUGUUGCUCCAUGGGAGGACAUUUCUAUGGACUUCGUCUUGGGCUUGCCAAGAACAAGACGAGGAAGUGAUGCUGUAUUUGUGGUCGUGGAUAGAUUCUCUAAGAUGGCUCAUUUCAUCCCAUGCCGCAAAACAACGGAUGCUCAUCAUGUGGCAAACCUAUUCUUUCGAGAAGUGGUCAGACUUCAUGGAUUUCCAAGGUCCAUUGUCUCAGACCGUGAUAGCAAGUUUCUUGCUGCAUUUUGGCUCACUUUGUGGAAGCAAUUCAACACUGAAUUGAAAUUGUCUAGCACUGCUCAUCCACAAACAGAUGGACAAACGGAAGUGGUGAACAAGUUUUUGGGUAAUCUGAUCCGUUGCAUUUGUGGAGAAAGAAAGGGGCAAUGGGAUUUGGCUUUAUCUCUUGCAGAGUUCUCCUACAAUAACUCCAAGCAUAGAUCCACAGGAAGGAGCCCUUUUUCCAUUGUCUACACUAAAGUUCCAACACAUGUGGUGGACCUGGUGAAGCUGCCAUCAAGGGGAAACUCAAAAUCAGCAUUGUCCUUUGCUGAUAAUUACACCGAGUUAUUUGAAGAGAUUCGCGGCGCUUUGGAAGCACAAAAUCAGAAAUAUAAACAACUUGCUGAUUGCAAAAAGAGGCCGAAAUCAUUCCAAGUCGGUGAUAAGGUGAUGGUCUACCUCCGAAAAGAGAGGCUGCCUUUAGGUGUUAAAGGGAAACUUAGGCAGCGAAGGUAUGGGCCCUUCUCUAUCAUGAGGAAGAUAAAUGAUAAUGCUUAUGUGAUAGAUCUUCCAAGUGACAUGGGUAUCUCCAACACUUUCAAUGUUGCGGACUUGACUCUCUACCAUCCAGAAGAAGCACUCUAUAAAGAUACCUCGAGGGCGAGUUCCAAACAACCAGGGGAGAAUGAUGAGGAACACUAG